ACAUCCGCCCCCGUAAGAUGGGCUCAGUGGUUCAGCCGCUGUCCGUCUCGCUUACGAACUCUCACCCGGAGGCUGUUUCUGCCGGUAACCGCUGAUCUCCCGCCUCCACGCUGCGCCCUUUGGGGCAGGAGUCGGGUUCCUGCUGUCCCCCUUGGGCGGUGGGAUUUGAGUUUGUUGCUUGUCCACUUCCCGCCUGCCCCUCCUCGGCCCCUCAUCCCGAACCGGGAAGCGGUUCUUCCUCCUGCCGGCCUCCAUCCCGUCUCGUGCAGCAGGUGUCCGCCUAGGUGCUGUGAUCGCCUCAAAAGAAUUAUCUGUCCUUCGUAGCCACUAGAUGUUCGAGCCUCAAAGCCUCUUGUUCACUGGUCCGCAGUGCUCAAGUCGGGACCUUGGUCCGGGCACCGCCCGGCCGCUCCUCUUAGCCAGUGUGUCACCCCUGUAUCCUCUGCCCAGCUAUCUUUGUCUAUACCAAGUCUCUCCAAAUUGUCAUACCCCAUGAGCUAAGCAAUCUGAAGCCCCAAGAGAUAAAGAAAAUUGCCAAGAAGAUCACACAGCUGAGAAGAUACGGAGCCAAGUUUGAACCUUGGCAGUUUGAUUUUUAAUUUCUGUACUCUAGAUUGUCAUCCUGAGCUUCAGGUUUAUACGAUUUUUGUUUUAGGAUAAAGAAUAGUUACAUAGUUUGCAAAUAUUUAGAGAAUGGGUUGUAGACAAGUGUAGAUUUUAUCCAGUGCUCCCAUAAGCAUCACAACAGAUUUCUAUUUCCCAUCUAAUCUCACAAAGGUAAGCAGAGUUAGGGCUGAUUAGGAUUAGAUGUCAUUUAGCUGCUAAAUCUUCCUGUAUGAAAGGGAAUGAAAGGCAGAGAGGUAAAGGAAAAGGCCUAUGUACAUGACCAGUUGAAUGUUUAGACUCUGAUACUUGGGAAUUUUCCAUAUACUUUGUUGGAGAGAAUAUUCAACUAAGAGAUGAGGCACA